rnacentral:rRNA from 1 species
GUGAGGAAUUUUGGACAAUGGGCGCAAGCCUGAUCCAGCAAUGCCGCGUGCAGGAAGAAGGCCUUCGGGUUGUAAACUGCUUUUGUACGGAACGAAACGGUCCUGGCUAAUAUCCGGGGCUAAUGACGGUACCGUAAGAAUAAGCACCGGCUAACUACGUGCCAGCAGCCGCGGUAAUACGUAGGGUGCGAGCGUUAAUCGGAAUUACUGGGCGUAAAGCGUGCGCAGGCGGUGCUGUAAGACAGGCGUGAAAUCCCCGGGCUCAACCUGGGAAUUGCGCUUGUGACUGCAGUGCUGGAGUGCGGCAGAGGGGGAUGGAAUUCCGCGUGUAGCAGUGAAAUGCGUAGAUAUGCGGAGGAACACCGAUGGCGAAGGCAAUCCCCUGGGCCUGCACUGACGCUCAUGCACGAAAGCGUGGGGAGCAAACAGGAUUAGAUACCCUAGUAGUCC